rnacentral:lncRNA from 1 species
GGAGCAGCGUGAGAAGGAAGAAGCAAAAAUACUCCAAAGGUUUCAUCUCUUGAGGAGAGUGGGGAAGAAAUCACCGGAGAAGUCUUCUUCAGGAACGUAAUUUGGCAAUUAAAAGAGAUGAAGCACGGAUACAUGCUACACCAUGGAUGAACCUUUGCAGUGAAUUGAGUGUGGCCCCCAAGAAGAUUGUUCACGUCUUAACUUCUGGAACCUGCGACUGUUCGAUGAACUCCAAAACAGUGCUUCUCAAACUGUGAUGUGCAAUUCACCCACGAUCUUGUUAAAAUGCACAUUCCGGCUCAGUAUGUUUGAGGCAGACCUUGAGAUGCUGCAUUUCCAACAAGCUCCCAGGCGAUGCUGCUGUGGCUGGUCCAUGGGUCACACUUCGUGCUGCAAGGAUCUAAAGGCAAAUCGUACUAGUCUAUGCAGGCUGUGAACUCAGGGAAUUAACUGGAGGACAAUGAAGGGCAAACCCAAUGGAAUCAAAGGGACGUCAAAAUCCAAAAUCCAAG